GGUGUAGCUCAGAGGUAGAGCACUUGCCUAGCAUGCAUGAGGCCCUGGGUUUCAUUCCUAGUACC
rnacentral:tRNA from 1 species